AGCGAACGCUGGCGGCAGGCUUAACACAUGCAAGUCGAGCGGGCACUUCGGUGUCAUCGGCAGACGGGUGAGUAAGACGUGGGAACGUACACUUCUGUUCGGAAUAACGCUGGGAAACUAGCGCUAAUACCGGAUACGCCCUUUUGGGGAAAGGUUUACUGCCGAAGAAUCGACACGCGUCUGAUUCGAUAGUUGUGUGGGUAAUAGCCUACCAAGGCGAGGAUUAGUAGCUUGUCUGAGAGACAGAUUAGCCACUCCGGGACUGAGAAACGGCCCAGAAUCUUCCGCGAGGCAGCAGUGGGUAACAGUGGACAAUGGGGGCAAGCCUGAUCGAGCCAUGCCCCGUGAGCGAUGAAGGCCUUAGGGUUGUAAAGCUCUUUUGUCCGGGACGAUAAUGACGGUACCGGAAGAAUAAGCCCCGGCUAACUUCGUG
rnacentral:rRNA from 1 species